rnacentral:rRNA from 1 species
AGAGUUUGAUCCUGGCUCAGAAUCAACGCUGGCGNNNNNUUAACACAUGCAAGUCGGACGGGAAAGUGGGCAACCAUGAGUACAGUGGCGUACGGGUGAGUAACACGUGGGCAAUCUACCUCUUAGUGGGGAAUAACCCUGGGAAACCGGGGCUAAUACCGCAUAAGCUCGAGAGAGGAAAGCAGCAAUGCGCUGAGAGAGGAGCCCGCGGCCGAUUAGCUAGUUGGUGAGGUAAAAGCCCACCAAGGCUGAGAUCGGUAGCCGGCCUGAGAGGGCACACGGCCACACUGGCACUGAAACACGGGCCAGACUCCUACGGGAGGCAGCAGUGGGGAAUCUUGCACAAUGGGGGCAACCCUGAUGCAGCGACGCCGCGUGAGCGAUGAAGCCCUUCGGGGUGUAAAGCUCUUUCGGCAGGGAAGAUUAUGACGGUACCUGCAGAAGCAGCUGCGGCUAACUACGUGCCAGCAGCCGCGGUAAUACGUAGGCAGCGAGCGUUGUUCGGAGUUACUGGGCGUAAAGGGUGUGUAGGCGGCUUUCUAAGUUUGGUGUGAAAUCUCCCGGCUUAACCGGGAGGGUGCGCCGAAUACUGAAAGGCUAGAGUGCGGGAGAGGAGAGUGGAAUUCCUGGUGUAGCGGUGAAAUGCGUAGAUAUCAGGAGGNNNNCCGGGUGUAGACGGCUCUCUGGACCGUAACUGACGCUGAGACACGAAAGCGUGGGUAGCAAACAGGAUUAGAUACCCUAGUAGUCC